UAAAAAUUAUUUAUUAAUAUUUUUUUUUUAAUUUUUAAUAAUAAAAAUAAUUUUAAUUUUUGUUUAAGUAUUUUAUAAAGAAAGAAUAAUUUUAAUUAUAGUUUAAUAGUAUUUUAAAAGAAUAUUGAAAUAAUUUGAAAAAUUUUUAUUUUAAAAGAAGAUUUGAUUAAUUUUACCUUGUGUAUCAGGGUUUAUUAAAUAAAAUUUAUUUAUAAAUAAAUUUCUCGAAUUUUAAAGAGUUAAUUAUAUAAAAAAGUUAUUGUAGAAUAAUUAUUUUAAAUAUAUAAUUAGAAAUGAAAUGUUAAUCGUUUUAAAAUUUAUCUAGUUUUUUAAGAAAUAAAUUUAAUUUAAAUAUUUAAUUUUAAAUAAUUUAUUUAUAAAUUAUUUAAAUUAAUAAAUAAAUAUAUUAAGGGAUUAGCUUUAAUAUAAAUUUUUAAAUUUAAAAAUAAUUUAAAAUAACUAUAAGCUUAAAAAUAGCUAUUAUUAAUAAAUUUGUUAAAAUUUAUUUUUAAAAAUAAAUUAUUUAUUGAUAAAUUAAAUUUUUUAUUAAAAAAUAAUUUUUAAUAAUAAAAAAUUAUUUAUUAUGAUAAAAUUAGUAUAUGAUUUUAUAAAAAAUAAUUUUUUUGUUAGGUUUAAAUGAAGAAUUCGGCAAAUUAAAUAUAUUCACCUGUUUAACAAAAACAUGUCUUUUUGAAGUUUAUUUAAAGUCUAGCCUGCCCACUGAAAAUUAAAGGGCCGCGGUAUUUUGACCGUGCGAAGGUAGCAUAAUCAAUAGUUUUUUAAUUGAAAGCUGGUAUGAAUGGUUGAAUGAGAUAUAUACUGUUUUUUUUAAAAUUUUUUAGAAUUUUAUUUUUUAAUUAAAAAGUUAAAAUGUAAUUAAAAGACGAGAAGACCCUAUAGAUCUUUAUUUUUUUUUAUUUAUAAAUUAAAAAGAAUUUUAUUUUUUAUAAUUUAAAAAAAAUUUGGUUGGGGUGAUAUUAAAAUUUAAAUAACUUUUAUUAAUUAAUAACAUAGAUUUAUGAAUUAGUGAUCCUUUUUUAAAGAUUAAAAAUUUAAGUUACCUUAGGGAUAACAGCGUAAUUUUUUUAGAGAGUUCAUAUCGAUAAAAAAGAUUGCGACCUCGAUGUUGGAUUAAGAGUAAUUUUUAGGUGUAGAAGUUUAAAGUUUAGGUCUGUUCGACCUUUUAAUUCUUACAUGAUCUGAGUUCAAACCGGCGUAAGCCAGGUUGGUUUCUAUCUUUAAUAAAUAAAUAUAUUGUAGUACGAAAGGACCUAAUAUAUUAACUAUAAUUUAUUUUAAAAUUGAAUAUCAAUAAUAUUU
rnacentral:rRNA from 1 species